UACGUAGGCAGCAAGCGUUGUUCGGAGUUACUGGGCGUAAAGAGUAUGUAGGCGGUCUGCCAAGUCUGGUGUGAAAUCCCCCGGCUUAACUGGGGGGGUGCGCCGGAAACUGGCGGGCUAGAGUGUGGGAGAGGAAAGCGGAAUUCCUGGUGUAGCGGUGAAAUGCGUAGAUAUCAGGAGGAACAUCUGUGGUGUAGACGGCUUUCUGGACCACUACUGACGCUGAGAUACGAAAGCGUGGGGAGCAAACAGG
rnacentral:rRNA from 1 species